rnacentral:lncRNA from 1 species
CAGUGAUGAUAUUUCCACAGAAGACAGAUUAAUUUUAUUUUUUUUUCCAUUGAUCUGGGACUUGAAGCAGCUUUGGGGAGGGAGACAGAUAGGAAACAAGAGGGGAUUUAAGCCUUUUGCCUCACCUUUAAAAACACCCCGUGCAGCAUUUCUGUCCCAGGAGUGGGCCCACGUUAUUACUACAGCCACAGCCACAUCAUCAGAGCUACAGCGCUUGGAGUUGUAGAUCAUCAGUCUGCUGUCACAGCCAUGAUGUAUGAUGGAAAAAGUCAUCCAUCUGCAAACGCCGAGCACAAAGAACCCCGGCUGCACGGAUGCAGCGUGGCAUGUGCAACAUACACAGCAGCAAGCAUUUUCCAAAUAAAAAGUACAUAAAGGUGUUGAAUUGAGACUCAUAGGAAAGAAGGCGGAAGACAUGCAAAGCCUCUCACCCCCAGGCCUCCAAAAUUGCUAGUAUGUUCUCAAAUCCAAAAAUGACAUCUAUGAAUCCAGCUAAUGCUUCUUUCACACACGCACAGCUUUCUCCUAAAGCUUUUUUUUUUUUUUUCUUUUCCAGUGUAAAACCUCAAUCAUAUUUACCCCUGCUUUAGGAUCUUUACAGACAAAAGACAUUUAAGGCUGUGAAAUCUUGGGAGAAGGUAAAAUGACAUGGCGGAUCAAUCAGCUGAUGCUUCUUCCCUGCACAGCAGGAGACUCCAGAAAACCUCUUGUAUUUUGUGUGGAGACUCAUCUCUGACUGAAUUUUCCUUUUGGCACUAUAAGAGAAGAAAGAUAUUUAAAUUUUAAAAAGAGGAAGUGAGAGAGAAGGAGAGAGAAUAAGCUUAUGCAUGGCUGCAGGUGUCUGAACUAAAAGGAACUGUUGGUUGUCCAGGAGAGAAGUCAUUUCUUGUGUUACUCUGCUGUGCAAUGCUCCAAGUGUGGGUGCAGAGAAGGGAAGGACAUUACUGGCAAGAAUAAUUCUUCACACUUUUGACCAAACCAGCUACAUUUCCCCAAACCAGGCUUUCACCCCACGCAAAUACUACUCAACUGCCCUCCAGCAAAUGAUCUUACUCCUUAAAGCUUCAAGGCAAAAACUGCCCGCUGAGCAGAAACACCCAAUGGGUUCAAUGUGGUGCAAGUCCCCACAGACCAGG